AUUGAACGCUGGCGGCAUGCCUUACACAUGCAAGUCGAACGGUAACAGGUCCUCGGAUGCUGACGAGUGGCGAACGGGUGAGUAAUACAUCGGAACGUGCCUAGUAGUGGGGGAUAACUACUCGAAAGAGUGGCUAAUACCGCAUGAGAUCUACGGAUGAAAGCAGGGAAUCGCAAGACCUUGUGCUACUAGAGCGGCCGAUGGCAGAUUAGGUAGUUGGUGGGAUAAAAGCUUACCAAGCCGACGAUCUGUAGCUGGUCUGAGAGGACGAUCAGCACCACUGGGACUGAGACACGGCCCAGGUUCCUACGGGAGGAAGCAGUGGAGAAUUUUGGACAAUGGGCGCAAGCCUGAUCCAGCAAUGCCGCGUGCAGGAUGAAGGCCUUCGGGUUGUAAACUGCUUUUGUACGGAACGAAAAGCCCCGGGUUAAUACCCUGGGGUCAUGACGGUACCGUAAGAAUAAGCACCGGCUAACUACGUGCCAGCAGCCGCGGUAA
rnacentral:rRNA from 1 species